UGUGCGCUGCCGAGUGCAGGGACCCAGGAUAAGCUUCUCCAAGACAAAACAUAAUAGAUUUUUGCCCCAGAUCGCAGGUACUGAGACAAGCUGGUUGGGAAUGGUAGGUGUGUAGGGCUCUUGCCUACAGGUGACAUCUCCCUUAAGCUCUGCAGCUCAGCCGUCGUGUUCCCCGCUCUUCUGGGCACCAGGUUGUAGCCUGUUUACCGCAGGAGUUGUCGUCCUAAGGAUGCAGCAGGCUGUAGUUUUCUUCCAUCUCUGCCUCCUUCACUCUCUACAGUGCCUCUUUUUUAACCAGGUCGUUGCCAGUUCAUCUUAGGCUGUUGAAGACUAUAAACUUGCCCCUUUUUUUCUUAUCUAGGUGACUUUCGCCUCCAUGAACUCAUUUCUUUGGAUCUAGUGUUAGGUGUUCAGGCAGAAUAACUUCACUGAAGUACAGAUAGCCAUGUCUAUGUGUGCGUUUGUGUGUGUAUGUGUACACCAGAGGGACAGGGGGGUGCAUAUACCUGCGUGUGUGUAUAUACAUGCAUGUAAAAACUUUUCAACUUUCCUCAAUGUUUUUUCUUUAUAUUAAAUUAUCUGCUUCAAUCCCCGCUUAUCCUGAAUAUAGCGCUUCUCCUUUCAAAUUGAUUGGGAAAGAACAGUCAAUAGUAUUUCUAGCCUUGCCAGAAUUUAGAUCAGUGUGACAUGAAAUCCAGGAAGUUUUGACAAAGGGGGAAACUGAGGCAGUCAGAACAACUCAGCCCUCAGCCGUGGAUCAUGCAGAGCUCGGAAAUGCUACGAGAAUAACCUAAAGCUGUAAGAAAUGCUGCGCCUGAGUUUUUGUGACAAGAAAAUUGUCAGUGGUGUUGUAGGUAGCGUAAGAGUUUGGUCUGUAAGUGCUGUCAGGAAAAGGGAAGUUCACAGUGCAGUUAACUCCCCAAACAGGAAGCCUGCGCUGUGCAUCCCAGAAUUUGGUCUGUGCGACCUGCUGAGCAGCAGAGCCUGUUUGGAAGCUGUUGUGGGCUUGCACUAGCUUUGGCAUUACUCAAUGCUCUUCCGCUAUGGAGCGGAGAAAGGUGAACUAAUUUAUAGAUCCAGGAACAACCCUCGGUAUGUUGCAACUUGUUUCCCAGUUACAGCAGAAUCUCAUGCAGAUCUGCCUCAUAGCCUGGGAAAACCCCUACUUUCUCUAAGCUAGUGUUUUUUGGAAGGAGAGAGUUACAUCCCUGGCUUUCCUUGAGGCCUGCCUUUUCCCUCAGAUCAUUUUCUAGAGUUUCCUGUAACAGGAGGGUUUUUUUUUUUCUCCAUCAUGAAGAUGUUUUGCUUUCUAUUUCCUACGUAUUGAAAGCAAUUUCACAUACCUCUAAAUUUUAAAUUCUUCUGUCAUAAAAGCAGCAAGCUUUAGUUUUCUAGGCUUCCUUUUUUCCCCCAUGUACUCUGAAGGCCUUCUGAUUGUGAGGGCUAGGUCUGCACUGACGGGUCCAGACAGACUUGAACUCUUCUGUCGAUCCAGCUCAGGGCACAGACUAAAGCCAGCUCUCAUCUGGGAGCGGUAUGGCCGUAUUAAUAUGGCAGUGCACUGAGCAAAUCUUGAUCGGCGUUGACUGUUAGCCUGUGUGCAGCCCUGCACACCUGAUGGCUUCUGAAUCAGGCUGCCUGGUCAGUCUUAGAUGGGCUGCAAUAGUCCAGCAUUUGGAUAUCCCAGUCAUGCACUUGUAUCUGUACCAGGCUCCACUGAUGUAAAAGCUAAAUCUUUUUUUCUUAGAAUUAUCUUUCUUAGUCCGAGUAUCCUCAAUAUUAAUAACCUGUUUGUUCAAGAACUUUUGAGACAUAAAACGUGUCAAAAAAUUGUCUUCGUUAUUCUUAGGAACAGAAGUGUACUCUUACUUUGUUUUAAAUAAAAUUUCAGCUGCUUAUAUUCAUAUGCAGCAAGGUAUACUUACAUGUUUGUAAAGAUGCCUCAAGUUCACGUUUAUGAGGAGGCUUGGCCUUAGCAAAGAAUAUUCACACCACCGAAUUCAGGUGGUCAGGUGUCAGGUCAGCUUCGCUGUGCUCCCUGUAUAAUCAGAGAGCACUUUCUCCAGAGGCCAAUUCAAACAGGGCCCAGUCUAAGAGAAGAGUUUAUGUGAUGACAAAGCAUACUUGAUCAUUACUUUUCCUUCAGAAACUGAAAUUGUACUCCUUUAACCGACAUUAUUUUAGUGCACAGCAGUGCUGACUGAGUUAAAACAAUUGGAGACCUGUGAGCAAAGUGUUAAAUUCUCCAUUUUACAGUAGACAAAUAGUGGUCGUCCUUGAAAACUCAAUAUUUGAAGAUGGGCAGUAAAAUAGGAUAAAUAUAGUUAGAUAUUACUGUCAUUAUGGUUAGACAGGAUGGUAGAAGUCGGAGUUCUCGUUAUGUCCUCAUUUACUGGAAACACGGAGGAAAUGUGUUGUGUGGUACAACAAAACUAGAGAAGCUAUCUUGUGCUUGCAUUUGUAGAUUCUAAUUUGUCUUUCCGUAUUUUGUUAUAGAAACUGCGUAGUAGGAAAUAAAUUGUGAAAGAUGGUGCUACUGCAUAUAGGAACACAAUUAUAUAAAGUGAAUUGAAUGAACCUUACCUUUGCAGUAUUAGUACAGUAACCCCUUUUUUUCUUUUUCUUUAAGUGAUAGAAACCACCUUCUGAAAGAAGCAGAGAUAUUACACAAAGCCAGGUUUAGUUACAUUCUGCCAAUUUUAGGAAUUUGCAAUGAGCCUGAAUUUCUGGGGAUAGUAACAGAGUACAUGACAAAUGGAUCAUUAAACCAGCUUUUACAUGGGAAAGAUGUAUAUCCGGACAUUCCCUGGUGCCUGAGAUUCCGAAUCCUUUAUGAAAUUGCUUUGGGAGUAAACUAUUUGCACAACAUGAAUCCUCCGUUGCUGCACCACGACUUGAAGACGCAGAAUAUUUUGCUGGAUGAUGAGUUUCAUGUUAAGAUUGCAGAUUUUGGCUUGUCAAAAUGGCGUGUGGUAUCUAUGUCACAAUCACGAAGCGAAACUUCUUUGCCAGAAGGAGGGACUAUUAUCUACAUGCCACCUGAAGAUUACAAUCCCAGUCAGAAAAGCCGUGCAAGUGUAAAACAUGAUAUCUACAGCUAUGCAAUUAUUAUGUGGGAGGUGAUGACAAGGAAGCAGCCUUUUGAAGAAGUUAUAAACCCCUUGCAGAUAAUGUAUAGUGUGUCACAAGGACAGCGACUAGACUUAAGUAAAGAAAGUUUAUCAAUGGACAUUCCUCACCGAGCACUCAUCAUAAGACUGAUAGCAAGUGGAUGGGCGCAAAACCCAGACGAAAGACCAUCGUUCUUAAAAUGUUUAAUAGACCUUGAACCAGUCCUGAGAACAUUUGAUGAAAUAGCUAUGCUGGAAGCAGUAAUUCUGUUAAAGAGAUCAAAGUUGCUAUAUGAAUCACAGUGUAUUCACAAGAGUGGAAAGAAAACACACGCGGAUCAGACAUCUCUUAAUAUACCUCUGAAUCUUAAUCCACAAGAGGAAAUGCAUUCUGUCUCCAUACAAUACGAUGCACUUCCCCUUCGGAGCAUCCCUCCAGAUGUAUCAACAUUCAAGUCUGCUCCCAAGUACAAUAUCCUCUCAUCAGAUGGAAAUUCGGGAGAUCUACACUCCAGCAGCAGUCAGAGCAUGGAUGAAAAUUUCUCUGUUACCCAGAGUGCUAAACUACUUGUGCAUCCAUACAGUUCUUCUGCCUCAUCUGACAAGAGUAUUUCAAGUGCCUCAAAUCUGCGGUCAUCACCAAUUCCUUCAGAUUUUGUUUUGGAAACCAUACAACACAAUGUAGCUCAUCAAUGGAUCCAAAGUAAAAGAGAAGAAAUUAUUGAUCAGAUGACUGAAGCAUGUUUGAAUCAGUCACUAGAUGCUCUUCUAUCAAGAUUUUUACUCAUGAAGGAAGACUAUGAACUUAUAAGUACCAAACCUACAAGGACAUCAAAAGUCCGACAACUGCUUGAUACAUCAGAUAGUCAAGGAGAGGAAUUUGCCAGAAUUAUAAUACAAAAGUUGAAAGAUAACAAGCAGCUAGGACUUCAACCUUAUCCAGACAUUGUAUCUAAUUCUCUAAGACUGCAUCUUUAAAUGUAUUGUUUCUAUAUGAAGCCAUGUGAAUAUUUCUUACGAAAAGGAUUCUUGUUUCUCUGCGGUAGUUUUAUAUCUAUACUGCUUUGUCUUUACUAUGAGUUCGUAUAGUCUGAGAAAUGACUUUGGGUUCAUCUAGACCGCAUUUGGUGAGUUACCAGUUAAUCAGUUGGAGGGCAGCCAUAAAGCCAAACACAUGCCACUUAUUGAUUCAAUACAUGGCAAGCGCUUCAGACUACUGCACGUGAAGAGCAUUGAGUCAAAGGAGGAGCCCAGGGGACAAGAAAGACAUUGUGCUGAUCAUCAUUGUUGUGCUAAAAACUGAUCUGUUAGAAAGGGUGGAGCUUUGCCUGGCUGGGUUACAUCUUAAAUUCCUCUCACAAGUAUGAUGAGAGUCACUUACAGCUUGUAAUGUACAAGGGAACCCUGAUUUAAUGCCUCUUACCUUUGUGGUCUGACAUAAAUACCUCUUGUCUCAUGUUGCUAGAUCAAACUUCCAGUUUAAUUUUUUUUUUAGUAUUUACAUGAGGAGCCACAGUUUAGGUCUGAACAAAGAUCAGGUAUGCACUGCCAUGCCCGGUUAGUAGUAAAGUGCAUGGGUCUUUAUGUGGCGGACACCGUGGAGGCAGCAGAGGUAAUGUCCUGACUGACAUAACCUUCUCUGGACAACAGUCAGUACCAUCCCUUUCCAUCUCAAGGAUGUUGCUAAAACGUAGAGGCAUAAAUGGGGCCACCUGAGACUAAAAGAUAUGUGGGGUUUUUGCUCGUUUCAGAAAGCUUUCAUGAUUUGACUUGAGUAGCUUUAAGCACUGUAAAAAAAAUUACUCUUUAAUUUGCUGGAACACAGCACUUAAAAAUGAUUUCCGUUUUAAAGGCACUAAUAAGUAAUUACAAAUUCUAUUAGCAUUAGCUAAAAUUUGAGAAAAUUCCGAGUUCUAGUACAGGAAAGCUGAUAUCUGCUUAAACUGUCUUAUGAAAAGGAGCAGAUAAAUGAGAAGUACCAAAUGAUGGCUGUUUGGAAACCAAUGGAGUUGUUGAUCUGCCCCAUUUCAAUAAGAUUCAAGGUUCAGUAUGUGCAAUACUGGUUACCAACAGUUUACCUUAGACUUUUUUCAGUAUCUGUCAUAACUUAUUUUGUGAACUGAAUUACAAUAAUGUGAUAUAUAAUUUAAUGGUUAGAAGGGCUUUUUGUAGAUUUUUUUAAAGUAAGUUCUUGCCGUAAACUGGAAAUUUCUAUUUUAUCCUGCUUCUUUGUUUUCAUCUCCCUUUUAACGCUUGAAGAUUGUAAAAUUCUAACUGGAGCAUAGUUAGCUGAGAACAGGGCAGUAGGGUAAAGAACGGGUGUGUUUUUGGUAAAGCAGGCUUGACGAUGACCAGCAGGGACAGGCUCUGAGGCUCUGGUGCCAACCUUGCCAGUAGGAGUGUGAUUCCAGACCUGUGCAUUUCAUUACAAAUCACAUUCCAAGCCAUGUGUGUCUAUUAUCAAUAACUAGUGUGCCUGAAGAAAGAUUUGUUUCAUGCAGAGAUUUCGUGAAUCUGAAAUGUUACUAAAUAAUUAAGGCUAUAGGAACAGGAAUGAGGAAAAAGCAACGAAUGUUGUUACAUCAAGUGUCAACUACAUGCUAGUGUUCUUUGUAUUCUCUGUUCUCUAAUUGUUUUCCUUUCUUCUUUGAGCUAUUUUAUUCCUGCGUCUCAGUCUUGUUUCCUGAGAUGCUGAUUCAGAUUUCCUUGACUUUCUUAAACUACAUUGAUGGAUCUUAUUAAAUAUAUAUGCUGGUAAGAGGGUUUCAUGGUUAGAUUAAUAAGAAAAGCCUCCUGAAAUUUCCCUUUUGGCAACACAGAACACUACAGAAAAUAAACUUUAAAAAAUUG